rnacentral:rRNA from 1 species
UUACACAAAUAUGAAGGCGGGCUGGAACCUCUCGGGGUUACAGCCUUGCUGAAUUAUUCACCCUUGUCUUUUGCGUACUUCUUGUUUCCUUGGUGGGUUCGCCCACCACUAGGACAAACAUAAACCUUUUGUAAUUGCAAUCAGCGUCAGUAACAAAUUAAUAAUUACAACUUUCAACAACGGAUCUCUUGGUUCUGGCAUCGAUGAAGAACGCAGCGAAAUGCGAUAAGUAGUGUGAAUUGCAGAAUUCAGUGAAUCAUCGAAUCUUUGAACGCACAUUGCGCCCUUUGGUAUUCCAAAGGGCAUGCCUGUUCGAGCGUCAUUUGUACCCUCAAGCUUUGCUUGGUGUUGGGCGUCUUGUCUCUAGCUUUGCUGGAGACUCGCCUUAAAGUAAUUGGCAGCCGGCCUACUGGUUUCGGAGCGCAGCACAAGUCGCACUCUCUAUCAGCAAAGGUCUAGCAUCCAUUAAGCCUUUUUUUCAACUUUUGACCUCGGAUCAGGUAGGGAUACCCGCUGAACUUAAGCAUAUCAAUAAGCGGAGGAAAAGAAACCAACAGGGAUUGCCCUAGUAACGGCGAGUGAAGCGGCAACAGCUCAAAUUUGAAAUCUGGCUCUUUUAGAGUCCGAGUUGUAAUUUGCAGAGGGCGCUUUGGCUUUGGCAGCGGUCCAAGUUCCUUGGAACAGGACGUCACAGAGGGUGAGAAUCCCGUACGUGGUCGCUGGCUAUUGCCGUGUAAAGCCCUUC